rnacentral:RNase_P_RNA from 1 species
GUCUGCUAAAUGGUCGCGGCUGCACAACCGAAAGGGUGCAGGUGAGGAAAGUCCGGGCUUCACAGGGCAGGAUGCCGGAUAACGUCCGGUGGAGGUGACUCCAAGGAAAGUGCAACAGAAAUAAACCGCCUGGAGCCGGCAUGAUCCGCUCCAGGUAAGGGUGGAACGGCGGUGUAAGAGACCACCGUCAGCCUGGUAACAGGUUGAGCCAUGUAAACCCCAUCCGAAGCAAGACCGCACAUAAGGCGAUACGGCGGCCCGUCGUGCUUUAGGGUAGGUCGCUUGAUCCUGACGGUAACGUAAGGACUAGAUAGAUGACCAUUCAAGACAUAACCCGGCUUAUCGGCAGGCUCAU